rnacentral:rRNA from 1 species
UGCGUAGGCGGUUCGGGAAGUCGGGUGUGAAAGCCCUCAGCUCAACUGAGGAACUGCGCCCGAAACUGCCGGACUCGAGGGAGACAUAGGUGAGCGGAACUUAGGGUGGAGCGGUGAAAUGCGUUGAGAUCCUAAGGAACACCAGUAGCGAAAGCGGCUCACUGGGUCUCUUCUGACGCUGAUGCACGAAAGCUAGGGGAGCGAAGAGGAUUAGAUACCCUCGUAGUCCUAGCCGUAAACGAUGAGCACUGGUUUGGAGGGUCCUCCAUAGCCUUCCAGACGUAGCGAAAGUGUUAAGUGCUCCGCCUGGGGAGUAUGGUCGCAAGGCUGAA